AAUCAACGCUGGCGGCGCGCUUAACACAUGCAAGUCGCACGAGAAAGGGAGCAAUCCUGAGUAAAGUGGCGUACGGGUGAGUAACACGUGGGAAUCUACCUCUUGGCGGGGAAUAACCCUGGGAAACCGGGGCUAAUACCGCAUAAGUUCGUGAGAGGAAAGCAGCAAUGCACCGAGAGAGGAGCCCGCGGCCGAUUAGCUAGUUGGUGGGGUAAUGGCUCACCAAGGCGAAGAUCGGUAGCCGGCCUGAGAGGGCACACGGCCACACUGGCACUGAAACACGGGCCAGACUCCUACGGGAGGCAGCAGUGGGGAAUCUUGCACAAUGGGGGAAACCCUGAUGCAGCGACGCCGCGUGAGCGAUGAAGCCCUUCGGGGUGUAAAGCUCUUUCGACAGGAACGAUAAUGACGGUACCUGGAGAAGAAGCUGCGGCUAACUACGUG
rnacentral:rRNA from 1 species